rnacentral:lncRNA from 1 species
UGCACUGCGUCAACCUCUUCCUGUAUCACAUACGUACGACUACAUCGACUGAGGCCAUUCCACGAUUAGUAUGACUAAUUCAAAUGGUAACGGUGCAUCCGCCCACUUCUUUGCUUCAUUCUGUUCAUGCUUAAAAUUGUGUUAAACAUAAACACUCGCACAUGCUUCUAUUCACUCACCAUAGUCAUGGAAAUAUUGUUGUUUUACAUAAUUAGUUUUGGAAUUUAAAUAUACCGAAUAAUGCCUAAUUUUCUAACAAUCCAAAAAUCUUAUUAUGUUGAUAGGCUUUCGGUAUCUAGUUUUGCUGCGUCGAUUAAACCAAAUAUAUUUGAUGGUUCCAAUUACAAGCGUUGGCGUAAGAGGCUUACGUUGUGGUUGACGGCCAUGAACGUAAUGCAUGUCGCAGACGAAAAGCCCGAGGGCACUACCUCAGAGGAUGGGAGUGCCUUUGAUCGUGCUGAUAGCUUUUUCCGUGGUGCCAUCAUAAGUGUUCUAGCUGAAAAUAUUGUUGACAUGUAUCUCUUGUUGCCAAAUGGCAAAGUGAUGUAGGAAACUAUUGAGGCUCAGUAUGGAGUUUUUGAUGCUGGCAGUGAGUUGUAUGUCAUGGAGCAGUUCCUUGACUAUAAGAUGGUUGAAGACCGUCCUGUAGUAGAACAAGCUCAUGAGAUUUAGGCGCUAGAAAAAGAUCUCAAAGAUUGUAGCAAAGAGGCUCCAUGUGUGUUACCCGACAAGUUUGUGGUCGGAGCUAUUAUCUCUAAGUUGGCAUCUUCUUGGAGGGAUUUUGCUACUUCUCUGAAACACAAGAGGCAAGAGUUUAACAUCACUGAUCUUAUUGGGAGUCUUGAUGUUGAAGAGAAGGCAGGAGCAAAAGACACAUGGGGGAAGAAUUGUUGGAGCUUCAAGCACCAAUUUAGUUCAGAAGAACAAUUCCAAUCCCCAAAAGAAGCUGAAGAAGCCACCGCAGAACCAAGCAAAGACUAAACAGACAACUGCACCAGCUAAGAAGAAGAAGGGAGUUUGCUUUGUGUGCAAGAGUCCAGAUCACUUUGCUUCAUAGUGCCCAAAUCGCAAAGGCAGGAAGUCUGCCAACAUGGUUAUAAGCGAGGCUGGAGGAACAUCGGGGUAUGGUAAUUUAUUACCUACAAUUCUUCUUUCAGUAUGUUACUUACUCGAGUGGUGGAUUGACACCGGGGCUAAUAUCCAUGUGUGUGCUGAUAUCUUUUUAUUUUCUUCUUCCCAGGUCGGAGGGACUGGCUCCUUGUUCAUGGGAACGGAUCACAUGCGCGUGUUCUUGGUGCUGGUAUGGUCAAUCUGAAGCUUACUUUGGGAAAGACCAUGCAAUUGAUGAAUGUGCAGCAUGUCCCCACUAUCAAGAAGAAUCUAAUCAGCGGGUCUCUACUAUGUAGGGAUGGUUUUAAAUUAGUCUUUGAGUCCAAUAAAUGCAUUCUAUCUAAGUUUGGUACUUUUAUUGGAAAAGGUUAUGACAGCGGAGGCUUGUUCCACUUUUCUUUGUCUGAUGAUUGUAAUAAAGUUGUGAACAACAUUGUUAAUGUUGAUGAAUAAAAUGUUUGGCAUUUAAGACUUUGUCACAUUAGUUUUGGUUGUAUGACGCGCUUAGCUAAUUUGAGUUUAAUUCCGAAAUUUACCUGUGUCAAAAAUUCUAAGUGUCAUGUUUGUGUUGAAUCAAACUUGCAAGCCUCACAAGGCUGCGGAGGCGAGGAACUUGGCACCUUUAGAAUUAAUUCAUUCAGAUCUGUGCGAAAUGAAUGGCGUUUUGACAAAAGGUGGUAAAAAAAUAUUUCAUGACUUUGAUAGAUGACUGCACUAGAUUUUGUUACAUCUAUUUGUUGAAGUCAAAAGAUGGAGCAUUGCAUUACUUUAAAAUCUAUAAACCUGAAGUAGAAAAUCAACUUGAGAGAAAGAUCAAACGAGUUAGGUUGGAUCGUGGUGGUGAGUACUUCUCAAAUGUUUUUACUUUAUUCUGCGAGGAACAUGGUAUUAUUCAUGAGAGGAUGCCUCCCUAUUCACCUCAGUCAAAUGGGGUUGCUGAAAAGGAAGAACCACACUCUAACUGAUUUGGUUAACACCAUGUUAGAUAUAGUGGAACUUUCCAAGGAAUGGUGGCAUGAGGCUAUAUUGAUUGCUUGUCAUGUCCUAAAUCGUGUUUCUACAAAGAAUAAAGAAGUAACACCAUUCGAGGAAUGGGAGAAGAAGAGGCUAACACUUUCUUACUUACAUACUUGAGGUUGUUUGGUAAAAGUUAGUGUGCCGAUAACCAAGAAACACAAGCUUGGACCUAAAACUGUGGAUUGUGUCUUUUUAGAUUAUGCUAUUCACAGCGUUGGCUAUAGAUUUUUGGUAGUAAAAUCUGAAGUACCUGACUUGCAUGUUGGUACAAUAAUGGAGUCCAGAGGUGCUAUAUUUUUUGAGAAUAUUUUUCCUAUGUGAGAUAAAACAAGUUCAUCUAGGCAAGAGUUUAUCGAGAAGGAUAUCUCUACCGAUGUGAUAGAACACAGUGAACCUACACUUGUAGAAAAUCCUGAGGAGGAUCACAAUGAAGCUCCCAGAAAGAGCAAGAGACGAAGGACUGAAAAGUCUUUUGGUGAUGAUUUCAUUGUAUACCUCGUGGAUGACACCCCUAGAACCAUUGAAGAGGCAUAUUCAUCUCCCGUUGGUGACUAUUGGAAGGAAGUAGUAAGGAGUUAAAUGGAUUCUAUUAUGUCUAAUGGAACUUGGGAAGUCGUUGAAUGCCCUUAUAGGUGCAAACCCGUAGGAUGCAAGUGGGUGUUCAAGAAGAAGCUUAGGCCUAAUGGUACUAUUGAAAAGUAUAAGGCAAGGCUUGUGGCUAAGGGUUAUACUCAGAAAGAAGGAGAAGACUUCUUUGACACUUAUUCACCUAUUGCUUGAUUGACCACAAUUCGAGUGUUACUUUCCCUAGCAACCUCUUAUGGUCUUCUCGUCCAUCAAAUGGAUGUUAAGACAGCUUUCCUAAAUGGAGAGUUGGAAGAGGAGAUCUAUAUGGAUAAGACAGAAGGGUUUGUAGCAAAAGGUCAAGAAGGAAUGGUGUGUAAGUUGUUAAAAUCUUUGUAUGGCCUCAAGCAAGCUCCUAAGCAAUGGCAUGAGAAGUUUGAUAAAACUCUUACGUCCGCUGGCUUUAUUGUGAACGAAGCCGACAAGUGUGUGUACUAUCGCUUUGGUGGGGGUGAAGGAGUGAUACUGUGCUUGUAUGUCGAUGACAUACUGAUUUUUGGAACAAGCCUUAAUGUGAUUAAGGAAGUCAAGGACUUUUUGUCUCAGAACUUUGAGAUGAAAGAUUUGGGAGAGGAUGAUGUUAUCCUUAAUAUAAAACUAGUAAGAGAAGAUGAUGGUGGGGUUACACUGUUGCAAUCCCAUUAUGUGGAAAAGGUUAUAAGCCACUUUGGUUACAGUGACUGCAAACCUGCUUCAACACUUCAUGAUGCUAGUGUAAUUUUAAGGAAAAAGAAAAGGAUAAUGAGAGAUUAGCUGAGAUACUCUCAAAUUAUUGGUUCACUUAUGUACUUGGCUAGUGCUACAAGGCCUGACAUCUCAUUUGCUGUGACCAAACUAAGUCAGUUUGUUUCAAAUCUGGGAGAUGAUCAUUAGCAUGCUCUAGAGAGAGUGAUCCGCUAUCUAAAAGGCACUGUGAACUACGAGAUUCACUAUACUGGUCACCCAAGGGUACUUGAAGCGUAUAGUGAUUCAAAUUGGAUCUCUGAUGCUGAUGAAAUAAAAACCACAAGUGGAUAUGUAUUCACACUUGGAGGUGGCGCUAUUUCCUGGAAGUCCUGCAAGCAGACCAUCUUAACGAGGUCAACAAUGGAAGCAAAACUCACAGCAUUAAACACCGCCACUGUUGAGGCUGAGUGGCUUUGUAAACUCCUAAUGGACUUGCUGAUAGUUGAAAAAACUGAUACCAACAAUUCUAAUAAACUGUGACAAUCAAACUGUGAUUGUCAAGGUGAACAGCUCAAAGCAUAACAUGAAGUCAUCAAGGCAUGUAAAGAGGCGGUUGAAAUCUAUAAGAAAAUUGAGAAACUCCGGAGUUAUAGCUUUGGACUAUGUUCAAACAGCUAAGAAUCUGGCAGAUCAAUUCUCAAAGGGUCUUUUACGAAAUGUGAUAGAUAAUGCAUCUAUGGAAUUCGGCUUGAGACCCACUUGAGUUAUUCUAUAGUGGUAACCUGUUCUAUGUGAUCGGAGAUCCCGUGAAGUAGGAUGGUGAAAUAAACUAUAGUUUGACUGAGAGAAGAGAACCUUUGAAUAGGCUCAUUCCAGUGAAAGAUGCAUUUCUCUGCAAUCUUGUAUGACAGGUUGGUUUAUACCUUAAUGUGUUCCAAGUGGCCUCUUUGAAACAAGGGAGUUGUUUCUUUGAAGCAAAGAUGUCCUACAGAACAUCUUUUGAGGAAUGCACCUAUAUGAGUCUGACUACUGGUCAUAGUCUAUGAGAUGUGGGUGAUCUCUAUAAACUCAUGAAAGGCCUGGAGUAUGACUUAUAAGCUCCAAACCGUGGGGAUGCUUUCACAGCCUAGUAUCAGUGAAGGGCUCUGGUCAAACUUGUUUGCACAAGACUGUCAAUUCAAGGCAUAGUCCAUUGUACAAUUGUGAAUAAGUAUAGCCUUAUCUCUAGAUGGAAGUUCAACUUAACAAUCUCCGUCAAAUACUGAUAUAUCAAUGCAAAGAUUACACUGGAUCUGAGAGCAUUUCUAGUGCUUGGUGGGGAUUGUUGGAAUUUAUAGGCUUGGCCCAUUUAUUUAAUCCAACUAAAAGAAUUAAAAGUCCACUAAUAAAUGAUAGAGAGCUAUGUGUUUAGUCCCAUAUGGGGAUUUGAGGAGGAUCUUAAUUGACUUAAAAGGUAGACUUUGUGUACACCAUUUGUGAAGUCAAUAAAAGAGAUUGGCGUGCCACACGCGCGCGCGCUCGCUGGGCCGGGUUGGGCGAUGCGGUGUGAUGAACCUUUUGCCGUUGAAUGCAGUCAGCAGAGUCAUCAAUUGGGCGAAUUCAUUCCAGUAACAACUAAAGAAUAAACUCUGGAAUAUUCCACAACGUUACUAGGCAGAUUGAUUGCCUUUGAUGACUAUGUUGACUGCCAGACGUCCAGGUUCAUCCCCCCUUUCUCACCAGCUCGCCUAUAUAAGGCGCCCCUCCUCCUCCUCCCAAAGAUGCACCAAGGUAUUCCUUUUAGGAGACCUCUCUCUUCUCCCUCUAUCUUCUGCUGCACUUUUUGCAUCCCCAUCGCUAGGCAUUGCGCGCACAAGUACUGGAUAGAGCAGAGCCUCCGGAACCUCACCUGCUGUUGGAGAUCCUGCUCGGGAUAGGCGGGCGAUAAGGUUUUUGGGGAGCGCUGAACGCGACAGCUCGCUCCCUGGUCGACUACAUCCUGGUGGCCGAGACAUUAUCCGUCUGCAAUGUCUACUUCCUGGUGACAGCUGAUCGACUACAUCGUCUUCUUCCUUGUGGCCGUUGUUCGACUACUUCCCGAAGACUGUUCGUGGGACUGCACUGCGUCAACCUCUUCCUACAUCACAUACGUACGACUACAUCGACUGAGGCCAUCCCACAAUUAGUAUGAUUAAUCCAGAUGGUAACGGCACAUCCAGUGCCUCUGGCACUGGCCCCGCCCCAGGGCACACCCUGAAACUUCUUUGCUUCAUUCUGUUCAUACUUAAAAUUGUGUUAAACAUGAACACUCGCACAUGCUUCUAUUUACUCACCAUAGUCAUGGAAAUAUUGUUGUUUUACAUAAUUAGUUUUGGAAUCAAAAUAUACCGAAUAAUGCCUAAUUUUCUAACAAGAUCUCAUCUUUUACUCACUGGAUUUGCCUGACCAAUUCCACAUUAAAAGAU